GAUAGCUCAGUGGGUACAGCACAAGACUUCUAAUCUCAGGGUCAUGGGUUCAAGCCACACAUCGGCCA